rnacentral:piRNA from 1 species
CUGGCUGAGCUGCAAGACAUCCUGGAAUUGGU